UCCAAUGUUUCUAACUGACGUCCUCCAUUUAUCCACAGAGCAGUUACAGAGCAGGCAUUUGUAGGGUGAGAUUUUCCAAUAAGUGCAUCCCCAAUAAGCCUCAUCCUAUGGGCCCACCUGUGGGGGUGAGAUGUAGUUAGGCAUCCCUGUCCUUGGGUUCC
rnacentral:sRNA from 1 species